GAUGAACGCUGGCGGCGUGCUUAACACAUGCAAGUCGAGCGAGAAGUUUUGAAAAGAUUCUUCGGACGAAAUUUAAAAUGGAAAGCGGCGGACGGGUGAGUAACGCGUAGGCAACCUGCCCCAUACAAAGGGAUAGCAUUUGGAAACGAAUAUUAAUACCUUAUGAAACUUAACUAGUGCAUGCUAGGUAGGUCAAAGAUUUAUCGGUAUGGGAUGGGCCUGCGUCUGAUUAGCUAGUUGGUGAGGUAACGGCUCACCAAGGCGACGAUCAGUAGCCGACCUGAGAGGGUGAACGGCCACAUUGGAACUGAGACACGGUCCGAACUCCUACGGGAGGCAGCAGUGGGGAAUAUUGCACAAUGGGGGAAACCCUGAUGCAGCAACGCCGCGUGAACGAUGAAGGCCUUUGGGUCGUAAAGUUCUGUUCUAGGUGAUGAAAACUGACAGUAACCUAGGAGAAAGCCCCGGCUAACUCCGUG
rnacentral:rRNA from 1 species